UACGUAGGGUGCGAGCGUUGUCCGGAAUUACUGGGCGUAAAGGGCGCGUAGGCGGCCGCCUAAGUCAGACGUGAAAUCCCUCGGCUCAACCGGGGAACUGCGUCCGAUACUGGUUGGCUUGAAUCCGGGAGAGGGAUGUGGAAUUCCAGGUGUAGCGGUGAAAUGCGUAGAUAUCUGGAGGAACACCGGUGGCGAAGGCGGCAUCCUGGACCGGCAUUGACGCUGAGGCGCGAAAGCCAGGGGAGCAAACGGG
rnacentral:rRNA from 1 species